CUUAGGUACGAGUUGACUGGAAACCGUUGGAAUAAUCUCCCCUUCUGAUCGCCCACGAGCUUUCAAACGGUUGAGAUCCGGUGCCCAAGACAGGAGAAAAGUGAACCUUAUUGAUGGGGACCCCAAUGUUCAUCGGAUUAAGGAUAUUCUUCCUGACGAUAUAGCUGUCAAAUACCUGCCAAUCUCUGGUGCCAAAUUUUCUUGUGAUCGUUUUCGCCAUGCAUUGUUGAGAGACUUGCGGAAGAUGGAUGUUCAACAGCUGUAUCUUCAUCUAGGCUCAAAUGACAUUCUUACGAAUGAAGCGGUGUUUUACCGAUAAACCUCACAAUCCUAUGAUCAACGCAGGAGCCAUCGCAGUCUGUUCUCUCUUAAAGCAGGGCGUCAACUUGGUCGACCGAUUUAAUUAUAUGCUUCCGAUGUCCUGGGUCGCACUCCACUGCAUAUGGCGGCAUUGAAGGGACAUCAAAACAUCAUUUUACUCUUGGUUCAUUUCGGGAGUUAAGUGCGAGCCAUAGACAAUGACGGCAACAUUCCACUGCAUUUAUGUGCCUAAAUUGGACAUGAGGAAUGAAAGCCAUUCUGUUCUUGGACAGCCAAAAGAGGCGUGUUAAUGUAAACGCGGGCAAUGAUAUGGGAGAGACUCCACUGCACUUGGCUGCUAAGUGGGGAUAUGAGUAACGAGUACAAUGGAUUCCUGUAUGAUGAAAUGCAGGGUGUUGACCUAGUAAGCUCUAUCCUCCUGGCUAUGGACAAGAAACAGAAACCCUUCACUAGACGACCCUGCAUCUCUACGUUCAAGAUUUUAAUGAUCUUCGAAAUCUAGGCUAUCACAAUUGUAUUGCCGACGGUGUCUUCACAAACAUAAGCGACGCCAACAAAAAAGGCAGCAAGACAUACGAUAACAUCUGGAUAUCUAAACAGACAAAACAAGUAUUCACUGGUCAAUGUGACGUCGUGAGAGAGGGCCUGUCCAGUCCCUGGAUCCCUAAGGGCUGGACGUGGGGCGGGGUUGUGAGUGACCACUGUCCAGUGUGGGCCCAGUUCUACACGGGCCGUGACCUUGACACUGGAGACCUGAAAAUCGGACCAGAGGUUAUUAAAUUUGUACUGACUGACUGAUGUUUUGUAAAAUAUUAGAAUAUUACACAUGUUACUCUGGUUAUGUGACAGACAUCAUUGAUAUCGAAUUGGUGAUGCAAUUCUUCAAACAGUAAACAGUGAAAAUAUUCCACACUUUUCAUUAUGUUAUUGCUGUGAAAAUCGCCAUUUAAACUACUUUAAAAUGGAAGCCAAUAAUAAACUUAUAAGACAAAAUUAACAAGCGAUUGAACAUUUUUGUGUUUUAAUAUCAGAAAUAUUCUCUUGGUCAAAUGUUAACAAUUUAUUUAGCAAAUUUGUUCAACAUGUUAUGGUACGUGAAGUUUGGAGAUGUUGAUGUUAUUUUAUGUUUUGAUGUACUGCUGAUUUCACAUUAGGUGUACCAUUCUUGUGAAUGUGGAAAAUAGUGAAUGCAACAUUUGUUUUUAAGUAGAUUAUGUGUUCAUUGUUAUAGUAAAACUCUCAAUUCACAACAUAUGAACCAAUAAACCAUAUUUUAUUACUUACACGUGAAUGUCUACCGCUAAUUAUAAUUCUUAAAAGUUUUGCUUUAAUGUCAGAAAUAUUUUGUAUAAUUCUUAUUUCAAUAUAGCUUACAAUACCGAUUAGAUUGUGUUAAUAUGUUUGAAUACACAAAACAAAUUAUAUUUAUUAUAUUAUCAAAAUUUGAUAACGUUUUGUUGUUUUAACUUUGAUAUAGCAUUUCUGCUGAAUUUCACCAUUCUUGGGAAUGUGGAAAAUAGUGAAUGCCACAUUUGUUUUCAAGUAGUUUGUGUGUUCAUUGUUAUAGUAAAACGCUCUUUUCACAACAUAUGAACAAAUAAACCAUCUUUAAUUACUUGCACAUGAAUGUAUACGAUAAUUAUAAUUGUUAUAAGUUUUGCUUUAAUGUCAGAAAUAUUUUGUAUAAUUCUUAUUUCAAUGUAGCUUACAAAACCAUUUAGAUUGUGUUGAUAUGUUUGAAUACACAAAACAAAUUAUAUUUAUUAUAUUAUCAAAAUUUGAUAAGGUUUUGUUGUUUUAACUUUAAUAUUGCAUUUCUGCUGAAUUUCACCAGUUUGUAUUAUUACUUGCUUCAUUUUAAUAAUUUAAUGAUCAAAAUAUUUUAUGAUAGCAUUUUUCGAUUGUGCAUUGUGAAGUUUCAAUUUUAUGCAGUGCAGUGUAGAGCGGAAAAUGCAAAUUUUUAAGAAGCACCCGUUAAAUGCAUAAUUGUCAACAUUUAUUUGAUCCUGUGUAUUUAAUAUUUAUAAAUGAUAUUAUGUCUUAUUGAAAUAUGUAAUAAUAUGUAUAUAGUUCCCUGUAUGAAUUUGUUAUAGAUUAAAAUGAAAUGUUCUGUUUCAUUUGGGAAUAUUUCAUAGACUACCAUGUUUUUGUCUGUUUAAAUUAAUUGUAUACAUUGUUGUAUUUUGAACAAUAUUAACAUUAGUAUUAAAUGAGCGUCUAGCAAUAGCCAAAAGUAUGUAUCGGGAUAAACUUAUUUUAUUUGGGUUCAUUAACAUUCAAGUAGAAUGCAUUUUUAAGGUGUUUAUUAUUAGUAUGUACCGUAGGACUUUAAGAUAAUAUUAUUUUCAAUAAUGUAGUUGUAUUUUGCUAUUGUUUGUUAUUGCUAAAUAAAAAUUAGAGUUUGAUAUAGAUAAUACUGGGACAAUGCUACAUAUAUAUGCCUAACAGAAUGUGUCCUGCAUUUAGAAAGUGACUUCAUAUAAACAUACUUGAGCUGUGAUUUGGAAAAAUAUGUAUUCAAUACAUGUGCGUAUAGGAUUGCCCCAGAUGAGUCUUAUGAAGUCUACGAGCGCUAAUAAGGGACGACAGUUUCUCUUGCUUUUAUUAAAUUUCAGUCUUCAGAAGUAAAUUAGGGGCCAUUUAUUAUAGGUCAAUAUUUAUAGAUUUGUGGAAGUGUAUACCCAGCUUACAUACCCUACCUGGAUUCCAUUUCGAGCCAGUUGGGUUAAAGUCUAUGUCACUAUUAUUAAAAUUAGACAAACUACACUCAGUAACACCGCUUUUAUAUUAGGGUAUUGUUCCUAAAUUGUAUGAAUUGUUAGCUCACUGCUUUUAUAUUAGGGUAUUGUUCCUAAAUUGUAUGAACUGUUAGCUCACCGCUUUUAUAUUAGGGUAUUGUUCCUAAAUUGUAUGAAUUGUUAGCUCACCGCUUUUAUAUAAGGGUAUUGUUCCUAAAUUGUAUGAAUUGUUAGCUCACCGCUUUAAUAUUAGGGUAUUGUUCCUAAAUUGUAUGAAUUGUUAGCUCACCGCUUUAAUAUUAGGGUAUUGUUCCUAAAUUGUAUGAAUUGUAAGCUCACCGCUUUUAUAUUAGGGUAUUGUUCCUAAAUUGUAUGAAUUGUUAGCUUACGUGUAGGCCUAGCUUGGGAAAACUAGAUACAAGUCAAAGUCACUGUAAGUUAAUUAAAAACUUCCGCUUACAAAACUUAAAUUGUAUGAAGAAUUUCCGCUGUUUUUUGUAGGUGUAAGUAGAUUCCACGCAGUCUUAGGUGAUGUAAGCGUGUAUUUCAAUCCCUCUGACACCUUACAUGUAAAACAGAAUUAGUUUGCAUUAUAAUUAAUGGAGUCUUAUAAUGUGAGCAUAUUGUUCCUACUGAAAAUGUUUGUAAGGACAGUGUGAAUUGCAAAAUAUUGUUACUUGUCUUUUAUUCAAGAAAAUACUGUGGGUAUACCACGUACACUACUUUAUGUAUGGACCCACCUUUUGUCUUCUUGAUCUCGACUGCUCAGUAUACAUGUUUUCCUUAUACUUAUUUCUUAUUGCAUUUGAUAAAUGUUGUAUUGAUGAGGAAGAUCAAAUGUUCAUUAUACUGUCUUGAACAAGUUUAGGUUACAGCUAAUUUCAUAAAACAAAAUUGCCACUUUUUAUUAUGUAAUAUGAAACUUUUAUAUGUGUCAUAAAAUACAACAGUGUACGAAACCAAUUUGCCAAAACACUUUUUAAUUUUAAUUUCUAAAUCUUGUAAUAUAUAAAGGUGUGUCUUUUGUGACACUAUAUUAUGUUGGCAAUGUGUGCUUAUUAGUUUCUAUUAAACGCACAUGUUAUUAUUUAUUUAAAUAAAGACUAAUAAUAAAUAAUGUAAACUAUUUACUUUUUUGAUAUUAUUUGAAAUGACCAUUUUCCAAGUAUUUGUAAAUAGUCCUACAAGCUUUUUUUGUAGUAUUAUUUACUAACAUUAUUUCAUGUUCCUUAUAGGCACAUUUAUUUAUUUCGAACUUUCUCCCUCGGUAUUCUAACCAGGUCCAAGCGGGUAAGGUUCAUAUCUUUAAAACACAGCAUUCACGGCAAACAUCAUCCUAAUAUAUACAUUCACAAUAGUACUGUGUCAUUUUCAUCAUGGAUAUCAUACGCCUUGCGAACUUCAAUAUAAAAUGUUAGUAUCUGCAAUUUAUAUUUAUUGAUUGCUCUCCCAUGUCGUAAAACACGCGUGUUUAUCGAAUUGUAUUUAUACAUAUUUUUAUGAACAAAUGCUCAAAGGUUGCCUGUAAUAUAUUGAGGAUAUUUGUUGGAUUCGAUGGGAUAUCGAUUUUAUUAUGCCCCCAUUUGAAGAAGAGGGUGUAUAUUGUUUUGCACAUGCCGGUCUGUAUGUCAGUCCGUAUGCCCGUAUGUCCGUCCACCAGAUGGUUUCCGGAUGAUAACUCAAGAACGCUUAGGCCUAGGAUCAUGAAACUUCAUAGGUACAUUAAUCAUGACUCGCAGAUGACCCCUAUUGAUUUUGAGGUCACUAGGUCAAAGGUCAAGGUCACUGUGACCCGAAAUAGUGAAAUGGUUUCCGGAUGAUCACUCAAGAACGCUUAUGCCUAGGAUCUUGAAACCUCAUGGGUACAUUGAUCAUGACUCGCAGAUGACCCCUAUUGAUUUUCAGGUCACUAAGUCAAAGGUCAAGGUCACAGUGACCCGAAAUAAUAAAAUGCUUUCUGGAUGAUAACUCAAGAACGCUUAUGCCUAGGAUCAUGAAACUUCAUAGGUACAUUGAUCAUGACUCGCAGAUGACCCCUAUUGAUUUCAGGUCACUAGGUCAAAGGUCAAGGUCACAUUGCCAAAAAACGUAUUCACACAAUGGCUUCCACUACAACUGACAGCCCAUAUGGGGGGCAUGCAUGUUUUACAAACAGCCCUUGUUUAACGAGUGAUCAUAUAAAAUAAUAUGUUCACGAGUGGCGCAACCAAAAAUAUAUUUUCUAUGAUCACGAGUGAAUUAAAAUCGAUAUUCCAUCGAAUCCAACAAAUGUUAUUUUUAUUGUAUGAUUUUUUCACCGUUUAUUUACAUUGUAAAAGAGUCUGACUGGAUAAUAUUGCUGGAUUUAUGACGUCAUUUUGUCGAAAAAUUGUUGUCAUUGCACAGUUAAACAUUUAAAAAUAUUGAUAUU